AAAGUUGUGUAUGGUUAAAAUGUCGCUGUAACUUUAAGAGGGAGUCAAGUCGGAAGAAAACAGAAAGAAUGGCGACUGCAUCAAGAGAGACGACUCCUUUUUUCUAAUUUCAUGUGAAGGCAAUCAUUGUCGAAAUGGAAGAAGGUGGUGGAACUUCAAGUAAUUCUAACAUUCCGUACUGCUUGUCUUGUAUCUCAUUUUAUUUGGGAAGCUGGCCGUGCGGAUUGGUAGCAUUCAUCAUGGCUUACAAGGCAGAUGACUCCAUGGAGAGGGGCGACGUAAUACGGUAUAGACUCUACCACAGUGUUGGUUUAAUCCUGGGUGUGAUUGGCAUCUUCCUUGGUCUGGCAGCCUUUGCGCUUUUCUAUAAGUACGUGUUCCCCGUUUGGUACCUCUACCUCUACCUGACAGUGGAACCAGAAUAUAAAUUCCCUUAGUAUAGUGUGAAUAGCAGUUCAUGGGUCGAGGAGGCGGAUAUAUACAUUGUAAAUGUACUGUGGACAAAGAUUCUUUUAUAUUUGUAUUUCAUUAUAAUUGGAAAUAAAUUAUUUUAUGAUCAAC
rnacentral:misc_RNA from 1 species